AGCGGCGGACGGGUGAGUAACGCGUGGGUAACCUGCCUCAUACAGGGGGAUAACAGUUAGAAAUGACUGCUAAUACCGCAUAAGACCACAGCACCGCAUGGUGCGGGGGUAAAAACUCCGGUGGUAUAAGAUGGACCCGCGUUGGAUUAGCUAGUUGGUGAGGUAACGGCCCACCAAGGCGACGAUCCAUAGCCGGCCUGAGAGGGUGAACGGCCACAUUGGGACUGAGACACGGCCCAGACUCCUACGGGAGGCAGCAGUGGGGAAUAUUGCACAAUGGGGGAAACCCUGAUGCAGCGACGCCGCGUGAAGGAAGAAGUAUCUCGGUAUGUAAACUUCUAUCAGCAGGGAAGAAAAUGACGGUACCUGACUAAGAAGCCCCGGCUAACUACGUGCCAGCAGCCGCGGUAAUACGUAAGGGGCAAGCGUUAUCCGGAUUUACUGGGUGUAAAGGGAGCGUAGACGGAUGGACAAGUCUGAUGUGAAAGGCUGGGGCUCAACCCCGGGACUGCAUUGGAAACUGCCCGUCUUGAGUGCCGGAGAGGUAAGCGGAAUUCCUAGUGUAGCGGUGAAAUGCGUAGAUAUUAGGAGGAACACCAGUGGCGAAGGCGGCUUACUGGACG
rnacentral:rRNA from 1 species